UUCAAAAAUCAAUUAAUUAGGGUUCCAACCAAAUAACUCCCCUUCCAAAAUUUUAAUCCCUACUUCCACCCGCUCCCCUACGUCAAGCCAUUCAAAGAACUCUGCUUCCAUACGUUUGCUCUGAUCGAAGAACUAAGCCUUUUGCACCAUUUAAUUGGAUCGAUUUGGUGGUCUUCCAUGGUAGAUUCGUAAACAUCUCCAUAUAUUCAAUAUGGGAAAGAACGUAAUGCACAUCCAAAUUUUGACAAAGAUUUGUGGUCACGAGCUGAGGGCAAGAAUAAAGUACAAGUGUACGGGUUAGGCAAUGAUAGUGACCCGUGUGUACACAUCAGAGAAGACCCUAAGAUUAAAAAGUUGAACUUAGUUAUCAAGGAGCUCGUUAAGGAAAAAGAUGAAGAAAAAGAAAGGUUCAAUGGAAUUAUUGCGGGGUUGUUGGCUGACAAAGAAAAAGAUAAGGUGG